UCCCUACAAAUCCAAGUUUGUUGCUCUGGUAAUCUCUAAAAAAUCUAAGUUUACUACUCCGAUAGAUUCCCAACAUGUCGUUUACAAAUUCACGUGUACUACGCUGAUGUGUCUUCAAAAAAAAAGACAUAAUACCCUGACCACCUUGUGGUGUAGGGUAUAAAUAUAUAUCCCUCUUUUAAUGCUUUGGUCAUCUUCAAAAAUAUGCAUAAAACAUUCACGUUUAUUGCUGCGGUAAACGUCCAAAAAUAUAUUAUUAGAAUCCACGUUUAUUGCUUGUUAGGCCACUAAAAAUAACCCCUAGAGAUCCACGUUCAUUUCUUAGAUAGGCCCCCUAAAUAUUAUUUAAAAAUAUAUUAAUUUAUUUUAUUUUAAUUAACAUGUAUUGUUUACGAACAACACGGUAACCCUGUAUUCCAAUUGCCUAUCACACUGAACAUACCCUAUCAAAUUAUAUUUGACAAUUUAUAUUUGUGAAAAUUUAAAACUGAACCGGCAGCAGCAAAAACUCGGAAGGAAGAAAAUCGGGCAAAGUACAAUAACCGCGAAAAAACAACAAAAACCAUCAAUUUCAAAACGCAAUAAAAGUCAAUGGCUGGAACAAUUUUAAAAGCAGAAAAACAAGGAUUGUUAUUAAUAAAUUCUUUUCAAGCAACGAAACAGGAAGUUGGCGUUUGUGCUCUAAUGUUGUGGGCGGAAAAGAAACUAUGAUGUUGGAAUACUCCAUGGCCUCCUCCAUUGUUUGGUGGCUUGCAAAUUUCUUCACAAUUAUGGAAAGAUUGUUCGUCGUAAUAUUUGUGAAAGACAAUUGUCAUUAAAAAGAAAUGUGUCGGAAAAAAUGAAUUGUCAUGGAGAAAUAAUUGGUGUUGGAUGAAAUCAGACACAAAAUCGCGAACCGGCAAUUAUGGGCAUAAUUGGAAUCUAUUAAACUGCCAAGUCCAAUACAAUAUUGGCGAUAUGAAAGGAUGUCAUGUCCCACAAAUUCGUACUAUUUUUAAUACCAUGAAAAUGGCUUAAUCCUUGCUCAAUUCAAUACAUUUGUUGCCUUGAUCAAGGAAAUGUUUGACCGGGGCGAAACAGAACAAAGGGAAAAUUGGAACAAUUAUCCACAAUACAAAAAUAUAACAAAUGAG